GCUGGUCUGGUCUGGGUUGACACUACUGCAAUUAGCGGUUUAAGGUCCUGGGUUCGAUUCCUGGGGAGACCCCCGAAUUAGUCGGGAGCGCGAGAUUAUGGCUAGCUGCUGAGAUGUGGAGUUGAGGUCACAAUUGAUGGACCAGAUUCGCACGCUGGAUUGGUGGCGAUUGCCGAACCCUCCGUCUCUUCGGGUGUUCGGGUGAAUGGAUGAGGAGGGGUCCCAGAAGGCUGGAUCCGCCGCCUUGGACUUACAGUUCGUAUGGCGAAGUAUAGUGUGGUAGUGGUGGAUGGUGCUAUAAGGUGAUAAAUGAUCUAGAACUGACAAUGUGAUAAAGCGGCCCAGAAGCCUCCCACUCUGUAACAUUACAUUACAUAACAUUACAAAUCCAGCUACCAUAUUAUGACGCAGCAACGUCUCAAGGUUGCUGUAUCCCAAGUGGCCAUACCUUCGGUGCCAAAGUGCUGCACGUUCAGCUCCGAUACCCACGGCAGCACACACUGCAUCACCACCAGAAGGUAUCCUGUUGUCUUCACGCUGCGUCCUCUUCAGAGCUCCCGUACCUCCACUGCUGUAGCAGACGGGAUACAAGUCCCCAUCCCGCUUUCCAGUCAGCACCAACUGGUUCUGUACGUAUACUUUCGCCUGUCCGCCGCCGAAGACCACACUGCCUCCACGAUCAUCAAUGAUGCGGACCGAUAUGAUUUUGGCGGUGGCUUCCUCGUCGACGUAGACCUUCUUGAAAGUGAUGGCCUGUUUAUCGUUGACGUUAGACCGAAUCGUAAGCAUGCCAACUUCAGUCGGUCGAAGAGAUUGUCCCUUGAUGCCCAUGAUGUUGAAGCGCUCCCAUGGCUCCAACAACCGCACGUUGAAAAGUUCUGAGCGGUCAUACGUUAUGUGGUGAGUGGCGGCUGAGUCCAGAAACCAUUCCGUCGGACGAUUGCUGUUGUAUGCCACGAAUGCUACCUGCCGCGGAACUCCUGGCCCCCUAGCUGAUCCACCGGAUCCUGGCUUGCUGCCGCUAGCUCCGCUGCCACUACCUCCGUUACCACUGUUGCUGUAGCCACCCUUGUAGCCAGAAUUUGACGACUGCUUCAGCGCCUUAAGCUGCCUGCAGUCCUUAACCACGUGCCCAGGUUUAUUACAGUAGUAGCAGAUGACUUGCUUCCGACUAUGUCCCGAGCUGUUGUUAGCCGGCCCCCGGCUACCAUAACCAGAAGUAGAAGCGCCGAACGUCGAACCGCCGACAGACGUGAAGGCUGCCGACUCGGUAGGCUUGCCCGACCCACCGUUAGCCGUCUCGAUAGAGAGAAGCUUUGCUGUGACGCUCGCCAUGUCCAAAUCGCCGUCGCGCAUAAGUAAUGUAGUCGUCACCACGCUGUACCGACUGGGUAGACCAACUAGCACGGUGUACGCCAGCUCGGAGUCGUUAACUACGUGGCCGACUCCCAAUAAAUCUGUUUGCAGCUGCCUUGCACGCGCAAAGUACAUCGGAAGAGGUUCGCCGUCGACCAUUUUAAAACGGCUGAAUUCUUGACGUAGAGACACCUUGCGGGCGUUGUUGUUGGCAGCAAACAUAGAUCCCAAGGCGUCCCAGGCCUUCUUCGCGUUGGCAGCACCGGUAACCAUCGGCAAAUGAUGAUCCUUGACGUUCUUGAUGAGCAAAUUGAUGACCUUCCGUGACUGUCGAAUUUGCUCCUCGUUGCACGGCUCGUCGAGCAGGGAUUGCUCAAGCCCAAGCUCCAUGCACAUCGCGCUAAACCGAAUUUGCCAGGUAGAGUAGUUGUUGAGGUCCAGCGACUCAUCAAGCUUGUCCUUAACCAUUGUCGAUGAGGGAUAGAAAUAACAAUUUUGGGCGAUAGCUGUCUGCGCUAAGCGGGGCUCAUAACCUAUUGAAGAAUUGGCGACGGUGACGGCUAACGCUAAUUGUUAUUCCGGAAGGAUUGCCGGUGGCGAAGAUAUUUAGCACGAUAAACUUGUUACAAGUAAUGUAAAGAGUAUUGUUAGCGUUCGGCAGGACUUGAGGAGAUUCCUGGUAGGAAUACCGAUCGUUGUGAGAUAAACUAAUAGGCGCAGUCACCGCCCUAAAUACCGGCGCUAGCAGAAAACUCGUACAUUCCGCGAUCUAACUGCACGUACAUUCCGCGAUCUCACUGCGCCGUCCAGACGGUGCCCUAAUGUCUAUCACUUAGCUACCGGAUAUGCAUCGGUAGCCCCAUAAAGUUCUGGGGUAAGUCUUCCCCAUUAGUCAGGCGCAGACCCGGGGUCAAAUCCCCUGGUCGACAACCACACGAGUUGGGAGAGGACCGUUUCCUCAACAGCUAAGCGCCCCCUGGGAAUCUAUUUGGAUUCCGAUUGCGCUCUCAGUCAAACCCAAAUCAUCCAUCAGCUUGCGAAGCCACAAAGCCUCGCGAACAGCUGCUGCUGUCGCUUGAUACUCGGCCUCCACCGACGAAGCCGCCACAGUGUGUUGAAGUUGGCUGCUCCAGCUAAUCGCAGCUCCAUUAAGAGUGAAAUGUAGCCGGAAGUAGAACGCCGCGUAACUGGGUCUCCUGCCCAGUCAGAAUCGCUAUACCCGGACACAGCAACAUCGCCAACACCCCCAAAACGCAAUCCUAGUUCGCGAGUCCCCGCCAGGUAACGCAGAACGCCGAUUGCUAAGUUCAUGGCAGUCUUCGUAGGUGCGGCCAUAUGCCGGGACAAAACGCUCAAUGCAUAUGAAAUGUCUGGGUCUGGUCUGGGUUGACACUACUGGUCUGGUCUGGUCUGGUCUGGGUCUGGUCUGGGUUGACACUACUGCGAUUCGCGGUUUAAGGUCCUGGGUUCGAUUACUGGGGAGACCCCCGAAUUAGUCGGGAGCGCGAGAUUAUGGCUAGCUGCUGAAAUGUGGAGUUGAGGUCGCAGUUGAUGGACCAGAUUCGCACGCUAGAUUGGUGGCGAUUGCCGAACCCUCCAUCUCUUCGGUUGUUCGGGUGAAUGGAUGAGGAGGGGUCCUAGACGGCUGGACCCGCCGCCUUGGACUUACAGUUCGUAUGGCGAAGUAUAGUGUGGUAGUGGUGGACGGUGCUAUAAGAUGAUACAUCGUAGAACUGACAAUGUGAUAAAGCGGCCCAGAAGCCCCCCACUCUGUAACAUUACAU
rnacentral:lncRNA from 1 species